GGGGUCGACUGGUUUUGACAGCAAGUCGAAUUGAAUUGUAAGCACGUCGAGCAUUGUGUUUUUUGCUCGUAAAUCCAAAUUCACAAAAACAUAAACGGCGAAGGAAACUACGCUCUUGCUGCAUAAUCUGAAUUAAAGUAAGAUUAGCCUCGUCCUACAAGGUAGGAAAGCAGGAUUCACCUCGAUAGCUUUGGUUUGUGGCGGUCGGCUCAGGUGAAUCGUAAAAAUAAACCUAAGAACAGUAAAGCUUCGGAGCUGUUACGAAAAUUUAAGAAGAUAAGUAUGGUGUGGCUGUUUCUGGCCUAUCACUAUAUCGAAAAUCCAAUCAGAAAAUAAGCGUGUAGAAAACUCUUUAGUUGCUUGUUUGGACCCGAGUUCGAUUCUCGGCGACUCCAC
rnacentral:tmRNA from 1 species